rnacentral:tRNA from 1 species
GCCCGAUUAGUUCAGCUGGAUAGAAUGUCUGCCUACGGAGCAGAUGGUCGUAGGUUUGAAUCCUACAUCGGGUA